ACAAUUUCAUUGAUGGUUCGACUGACCAUUCUUACAAAGUCUUCAUGUCUAGCUAGUUUAGUGUGUUGGGACUCCCUAGAACUCCCGAUACUAAGUUUCCGAAUUUCAUCUUGGAUUUUGCCAAAUGCACUCAAUGCCUUUUCCAAGUUCUCGGUCUUUUUGGCCUCUUUCUUCAAUUGUGAGCGGGCGUCUUCCAAUGCUUGAUCGGCUACCAUGAUCUGCAACUGACGAUUCUCCAACUCUUUCCUCAACUUUUCAUUCUGCUCCUCAAGACUAAGGGAGACCAACGAUGCCCUUUCUCUUCCUUGUUCCAUUAUUGAUUUGAUCCAUUCGUUGUACUCUAAGACGAC
rnacentral:lncRNA from 1 species